rnacentral:rRNA from 1 species
GAUGAACGCUAGCUACAGGCUUAACACAUGCAAGUCGAGGGGCAGCAUGGUCUUAGCUUGCUAAGGCCGAUGGCGACCGGCGCACGGGUGAGUAACACGUAUCCAACCUGCCGUCUACUCUUGGACAGCCUUCUGAAAGGAAGAUUAAUACAAGAUGGCAUCAUGAGUCCGCAUGUUCACAUGAUUAAAGGUAUUCCGGUAGACGAUGGGGAUGCGUUCCAUUAGAUAGUAGGCGGGUAACGGCCCACCUAGUCUUCGAUGGAUAGGGGUUCUGAGAGGAAGGUCCCCCACAUUGGAACUGAGACACGGUCCAAACUCCUACGGGAGCAGCAGUGAGGAAUAUUGGUCAAUGGGCGAGAGCCUGAACCAGCCAAGUAGCGUGAAGGAUGACUGCCCUANGGGUUGUAAACUUCUUUUAUAAAGGAAUAAAGUCGGGUAUGGAUACCCGUUUGCAUGUACUUUAUGAAUAAGGAUCGGCUAACUCCGUGCCAG